GACGAACGCUGGCGGCGUGCUUAACACAUGCAAGUCGAACGGAGAGGCCCUGCUUGCAGGGUGCUCGAGUGGCGAACGGGUGAGUAACACGUGGGUGAUCUGCCCCUUACUUUGGGAUAAGCCUGGGAAACUGGGUCUAAUACUGGAUAGGACCAUGCUGUAGGUGGUGUGGUGGAAAGAUUAGUUUCGGUAAGGGAUGAGCUCGCGGCCUAUCAGCUUGUUGGUGGGGUAAUGGCCUACCAAGGCGUCGACGGGUAGCCGGCCUGAGAGGGUGGACGGCCACAUUGGGACUGAGAUACGGCCCAGACUCCUACGGGAGGCAGCAGUGGGGAAUAUUGCACAAUGGGCGCAAGCCUGAUGCAGCGACGCCGCGUGGGGGAUGACGGCCUUCGGGUUGUAAACUCCUUUCAGCCAUGACGAAGCCCUUGUGGUGACGGUAGUGGUAGAAGAAGCACCGGCUAACUACGUG
rnacentral:rRNA from 1 species